GUCCAGCAAAAUCUUCUGGCCUUCCUGAUUGGACAAUCGACCUGCUCGUCAAUCCCUAAGGAUUCUGAUGAAUGCUAAUGAUGGAGCUGAGGGACAAAGCGAGACACACUAUGCAGGUCCGGCUAGCAUUAGCGAAGCUCAGGCCGUCUGCAGCCCAGUCAAGGUUUUUACCCUCCAGUUUGCUGCCUGCUAGCGUGGCGAUGACAUUGCACCAGCCGCCGGAUAAACCAGUGAAUUCAUCGUGCAAAAUGCAGGGACAACCGUCAACAAAACACCUCACGUGACUUCACUGGAGCAGAGUGUCACGUGAUCUACACAGCUGGGCUUUAUGGCCACAAUUGUCCUGCAGCUGCCUAAAAAUUAACAAUAAAUGUAGAAUUAUU